GACGAACGCUGGCGGCAUGCCUAACACAUGCAAGUCGAACGAAGCCUUCGGGCUUAGUGGCGCACGGGUGCGUAACGCGUGGGAAUCUGCCCUUGGGUUCGGAAUAACAGUUAGAAAUGACUGCUAAUACCGAAUGAUGUCUUCGGACCAAAGAUUUAUCGCCCAAGGAUGAGCCCGCGUCGGAUUAGCUAGUUGGUGAGGUAAAGGCUCACCAAGGCGACGAUCCGUAGCUGGUCUGAGAGGAUGAUCAGCCACACUGGGACUGAGACACGGCCCAGACUCCUACGGGAGGCAGCAGUGGGGAAUAUUGGACAAUGGGCGAAAGCCUGAUCCAGCAAUGCCGCGUGAGCGAUGAAGGCCUUAGGGUUGUAAAGCUCUUUUACCCGGGAUGAUAAUGACAGUACCGGGAGAAUAAGCCCCGGCUAACUCCGUGCCAGCAGCCGCGGUAAU
rnacentral:rRNA from 1 species